GUGAGGAAUAUUGGUCAAUGGCCGUAAGGCUGAACCAGCCAAGUCGCGUGAGGGAAGACGGCCCUACGGGUUGUAAACCUCUUUUGUCAGGGAGCAAGGGGCAGGUCGUGACCUGCUGUGAGAGUACCUGAAGAAAAAGCAUCGGCUAACUCCGUGCCAGCAGCCGCGGUAAUACGGAGGAUGCGAGCGUUAUCCGGAUUUAUUGGGUUUAAAGGGUGCGCAGGCGGAGGCACAAGUCAGCGGUAAAAUCGCGGGGCUCAACCCCGCUCCGCCGUUGAAACUGUGUCCCUUGAGUGCGCGAAGGGUAGGCGGAAUGCGUGGUGUAGCGGUGAAAUGCAUAGAUAUCACGCAGAACUCCGAUCGCGAAGGCAGCCUACCGGCGCGCUACUGACGCUCAUGCACGAAAGCGUGGGUAUCGAACAGGA
rnacentral:rRNA from 1 species